ensembl:lncRNA
AGUGUCUCAUUCACUGAAAUGAACACGGCCAUUUUAGAAACCCAGCAAAGAUGGAAAUGGCUACAAAAAACAACGCCACGGUCCCCGGGUCUGACGCAAAGCCACAGACUGAGCAGCAGAAUCAUCUCCUUGCCUCACCUGCCUGCCUUCCUGCCCUUACACCACCACGGGAUCUUCACCGCUCAGGACAGCUGACACACACCACCAAACCCACCCGGACCGCACCAACUCUCCUUCAACGCUUCCAUCUCCCACCUGCACAUGAGACGGGAGAGGAGCGGAGGGGAAGCUGGGAUCAGCUGAGACCGGAGCUGUCCAGACUACGGACUGUCACAACAAAUGAAAACUAAAAAUAAAGGUGGCAUCUGGCAAUAAAGAACUGUGCGUGAAGUGCAUCUCACAAGUGGUGCCGGAACCCUGUCUGCGUGGGGAUGUCUGACCCACAUGCUGCGCCGCCCGCCCAGCCUUUGCAGUUCCUGGCGCAAAUGCUGGCGGAGAUGGCGAAGAUGUGCCAAGACCAGGUGGCUGCCCAGCGCGAUCACCUGGCAAAGCUGCAGGAGCAGGCGGACCGGCAGACCCAGGUUCUGGAGCGGCUGGUUGGAGCCGCUGUGCCGCCGAAGGCCCCUCCACUGUUGGUGACGAUGCCCCGGAUGGGCGACGGGGACGACCCCCAGGUUUUUCUGGAGACUUUUCACGCCAUGGCUGAGGCCUGCCAGUGGCCGCAGGUGGAGUGGGCUCCGCGUUUGCUUCCUCUGCUGUCGGGGGAGGCUCAGAUGGCGGCUCUUUGAGGACGUGAGCCGGGCGGUGUUGGACAGGAUGGGAUUCGCCCCUGAGGAUCAUUGCCGCCAGUUCCGGGCCUGUCGGCUGACCGCAGAGGAUCGGCCGUUUGCUUGGGCCCAGAAGCUGCACGACGCGGCGGUGCGCUGGCUGCAGCCAGGAUCAUCAGAGGGAGAGACGCUGCUGGUGGACAAGGUGGUGCUGGAGCAGUUCGUGGAGGGGCUGCCUGUGGAGACAGCGAGAGAGUCUGGAGGUCGCGGUAACAUUGGCGGAGGACCAUCUCGCCGCCAGAGCGGGGGAGCCCGGGGAAGGGAUCAUAAAUGAGCAGUGCCGCCCCUGAGCCACGGAGAGCGGCACAAACGCCAGGGCAGGAGUGCUGGAAGUGCAGGCAACCGGGACACCUGAGGAGGGACUGUCCUCUGAUGGAAGUGGGGCAGAUGUUCCGCGUCGCCGGUGCCCCAGCACUCUCUCCCGGUCCAGGAGGGACGUACAGCAUUCCGACUGACACCUCGAACAGAGGGCUGGGGGCCGUUUUGUCCCAGCAGGUAAAGGGGGCCAACUGUCCCGUUCUUUACAUCAGCCGGAAGCUGAGAGAGCGUGAAAGAUGGUACAGCACCGUGGAGAAGGAGUGCUUGGCUAUCCGUUAGACGGGAGAGCAGCGGAGGGGAAGCUGGGAUCACCUGAGACCGGAGCUGUCCAGACUACGGACUGUCACAACAAAUGAAAACUAAAAAUAAACGUGGCAUCUCGCAAUAAAGAACUGUGUGUGUACGUGUGUGAAGUGCAUCUCACACACAUGAAGCUGAUCGCUGUUCGUAGCUGAAGGACUGACGCUUUCCUCCUCUAGGCUUUACCUCCACUAAGGCACUAACCGCUGUCACAUCUCCAGUGUC